rnacentral:rRNA from 1 species
GAUGAACGCUAGCGACAGGCUUAACACAUGCAAGUCGAGGGGCAGCGGGGCAGGAAGCUUGCUUUCUGCCGCCGGCGACCGGCGCACGGGUGAGUAACACGUAUGCAACCUGGCCGUGACAGAUGGAUAACCGGGAGAAAUCCCGCCUAAUACAGCAUGACGCCGGGAAGGGACAUCCCUUUCCGGCCAAAGGGGGCGACUCCGGUCACGGAUGGGCAUGCGGCGCAUUAGGUAGUUGGUGGGGCAACGGCCCACCAAGCCGACGAUGCGUAGGGGUUCUGAGAGGAAGGUCCCCCACACUGGUACUGAGACACGGACCAG